rnacentral:rRNA from 1 species
UGCGUAGGCGGAAUAUUAAGUCAGUGGUGAAAUCCUGCGGCUCAACCGUAGAACUGCCAUUGAUACUGAUAUUCUUGAAUGUAGUUGAGGUAGGCGGAAUGUGUAAUGUAGCGGUGAAAUGCUUAGAUAUUACACAGAGCACCGAUUGCGAAGGCAGCUUACUAAACUAUGAUUGACGCUGAUGCACGAAAGCGUGGGGAGCGAACAGGAUUAGAUACCCUGGUAGUCC